UACGAGGGGGGCGAGCGUUGCUCGGAAUUAUUGGGCGUAAAGGGCGCGUAGGCGGUUGGAUAAGUCUUGUGUGAAAUCUUCGGGCUCAACUCGAAGUCUGCACGAGAAACUAUCUGGCUUGAGUGUGGGAGAGGUGAGUGGAAUUCCCAGUGUAGUGGUGAAAUACGUAGAGAUUGGGAAGAACACCAGUGGCGAAGGCGGCUAUCUGGACGGUUUCUGACGCUAAGACGCGAAAGCGUGGGGAGCAAACAGG
rnacentral:rRNA from 1 species